rnacentral:rRNA from 1 species
UACGUAGGCAGCGAGCGUUGUUCGGAAUUACUGGGCGUAAAGCGUGCGCAGGCGGUUAUGCAAGACAGAUGUGAAAUCCCCGGGCUCAACCUGGGAACUGCAUUUGUGACUGCAUGGCUAGAGUACGGUAGAGGGGGAUGGAAUUCCGCGUGUAGCAGUGAAAUGCGUAGAUAUGCGGAGGAACACCGAUGGCGAAGGCAAUCCCCUGGACCUGUACUGACGCUCAUGCACGAAAGCGUGGGGAGCAAACAGG